UACGUAGGGGGCAAGCGUUGUCCGGAAUCAUUGGGCGUAAAGCGCGUGUAGGCGGCCAGAAAAGUCCGCUGUGAAAACUCGAGGCUCAACUUCGAGCUGUCGGUGGAAACUUUCUGGCUAGAGUCCGGAAGAGGAGAAUGGAAUUCCUGGUGUAGCGGUGAAAUGCGCAGAUAUCAGGAAGAACACCCGUGGCGAAGGCGGUUCUCGUGGGACGGUACUGACGCUGAGACGCGAAAGCGUGGGGAGCGAACAGG
rnacentral:rRNA from 1 species